GUGGAUGGGAAGGAAAAAGAGGAGGAGAAGAAUGGAUGGAGAAAAAGAAGGAGGAGAAAGUGAAGGAGGAGAAUGGGUGGGAAAAUGAGAGGAGAAAGGAGGAGGGAGAAAAAGGAGGAAGGGAAGGAGGAGAAAUGGAUCAGAAGGAAGGGGAGGAGGAGAAAGGAGAGGAGGAAGGAAGAGGAAGAAAGAUGGACGCCGGCUAUGGAGGAGGAAG
rnacentral:lncRNA from 1 species